UACGGAGGGUGCAAGCGUUAUCCGGAUUCACUGGGUUUAAAGGGUGCGUAGGAGGGCAGGUAAGUCAGUGGUGAAAUCCCCGAGCUUAACUUGGGAACUGCCGUUGAUACUAUCUGUCUUGAAUAUUGUGGAGGUGAGCGGAAUAUGUCAUGUAGCGGUGAAAUGCUUAGAUAUGACAUAGAACACCAAUUGCGAAGGCAGCUCGCUACACAUAUAUUGACUCUGAGGCACGAAAGCGUGGGGAGCAAACAGG
rnacentral:rRNA from 1 species